CACGUCUUUAUUAUUUCUUCAUAAAUCAAACACACAGGUUUGUCUGCAGAUGAUUUAAAGUGUGUCGUUGUGCAGUUAAAGCUGUUUGUGUGACGCCCUGACCUCCUGUGAAUGAAACAGCCAAUCAGAUCCAUCAGAGAGAGAGCAGGAAGUGUUGUGUGUUUGUGACAGAACAAGGAAACAGUGAUGAUGAUGAACAUACAGGUCCUCUGAUGUUUCCUGUUACAGUAACGCUUGUUCAUCUGUUGCUCUCCUACACUUUCCUAUAAAUAAAGGAGAAAAAGUGCGUUUAGUUUCAUUUCCUACAGCUCAGAGUUACACUUCACAUUCCUGCUGUCACAUCAAAAAGCUUCACUUUGGUCCAACAUCUACAUGUUAACAUGAAACACAGACAGACUCAGAACAUCUGGAACAUCUGCACUUUGACCCAAACUGUUAUAGCAGGAUAUUUUCUGCAUAUUUCUUAUGUUGGACCUGUUUGAACUGUAAACGACCUGUAAUCAUCUGUAAAUGGUGUGAGACACACUGAGGCCACCUACAGGGCAGCUGGGGAACAGCAGGGAUCUGAAAUCAUACGAGACGUUAGUGAUUAGAACAAACGGACUUAAGAUGGCUCGAAGUGAUCAAAGUUGGUCUAAAACAGAAGAUAAAUCCAAAGCAGCAUCAGAUGAAUGUUACCAUUUCCAGUUACGGUGCCCUUCAUCUAAUAUGGAAAUGUGUUGUUGUUUUUUUGCCGUGUUGUUGUUCUUCCUAUUGUGUUUAGGCCAGAGAUGCUCUUCAAACAGCGGACAGACAUGACCACAUUACAAGAACAUGGUGUGAGUCCGAUUUGAUAUUCCAGUCAACGCUGAGAGACCUUAACCAGGAAGUCAGAGGUCAGCUGAUGCUGCGAGCAGGAAGUGAACCAAGGGAAAGGUCCACUCUACUCAAUCUCAAAGAAAAUAUGCUGGUAUUUGUUGAUGUUGAUGGUACAAUAAAAAUAUAUAAUAUAAUAAAUAAUAAAAUAUCAUGUGAUGAUGAGAUGUGUUGUUGGUGUUUGUAUUUUCUGUAAAUGUCUUUUUAAUGUAAAUGCUUUGUUCCAGACGGACAGGGAAUCAGUUGCUGUACGAUGACAUCAUCUUGAUGUUGACGAGGAGGGCGAGAAAAACUAGUUUUGUCCUGCAGAUGGCGAUCUUGCACCGUGUUCAGAGAGCCGACACUUUGAUGGUGCUGCUCUACUCAGCUUACUUUAGCCUGGGUUGGACUCUAUAUGAGCAGCUUCCACUCUGGUUUCACUCUUAAACA
ensembl:lncRNA